rnacentral:rRNA from 1 species
ACCUAGCCGUAACNUUCGACGGACUGCACUACAACGCCCGCCCGCCAGAGAACUACAAGUGAAAAACUCGAAACUCAAAGGACUUGACGGUGUCCCACAUCACCCUAGAGGAGCCUGUCCUAUAAUCGAUACCCCACGUUUCACCUUUCCCCCUCUAGUACCCCAUCAGCCUAUAUACCGCCGUCGCCAGCCUGCCUAGUAAUAGACCCACAGCAGGCAUAAUAGUCCCCCACUAACACGUCAGGUCAAGGUGUAGCUCAUGGGGGGGUAAGAGAUGGGCUACAUUUUCUAAACACUAGAAAAUCCACCACAAGCUAUGUGAAACCACAGCCACCCGGCGGAUUUAGCAGUAAAUUCCGGCAAGAUGUGCCACAUUGAAGUUCGGCCCUGGGACGCGUACACACCGCCCGUCACCCUCCUCAACCGACAACCCACAAAACUAACUAAACCACCCCACCCCACACAAGACGAGGCAAGUCGUAACAUGGUAAGCCCACCGGAAGGCGGGCUUGGCUCAAC